UGAACGCUGGCGGCGUGCCUAAUACAUGCAAGUCGAGCGAACAGACGAGGAGCUUGCUCCUCUGACGUUAGCGGCGGACGGGUGAGUAACACGUGGAUAACCUACCUAUAAGACUGGGAUAACUUCGGGAAACCGGAGCUAAUACCGGAUAAUAUAUUGAACCGCAUGGUUCAAUAGUGAAAGACGGUUUUGCUGUCACUUAUAGAUGGAUCCGCGCCGCAUUAGCUAGUUGGUAAGGUAACGGCUUACCGAGGCAACGAUGCGUAGCCGACCUGAGAGGGUGAUCGGCCACACUGGAACUGAGACACGGUCCAGACUCCUACGGGAGGCAGCAGUAGGGAAUCUUCCGCAAUGGGCGAAAGCCUGACGGAGCAACGCCGCGUGAGUGAUGAAGGUCUUCGGAUCGUAAAACUCUGUUAUUAGGGAAGAACAAAUGUGUAAGUAACUAUGCACGUCUUGACGGUACCUAAUCAGAAAGCCACGGCUAACUACGUG
rnacentral:rRNA from 1 species